rnacentral:rRNA from 1 species
UACGAGGGGGGCGAGCGUUGUUCGGAAUUAUUGGGCGUAAAGGGUGCGUAGGCGGUUCCGCAAGUCCUGUGUGAAAUCUUCGGGCUCAACUCGAAGUCUGCACGGGAAACUGCGGGGCUUGAGUGUGGGAGAGGUGAGUGGAAUUCCCGGUGUAGCGGUGGAAUGCGCAGAUAUCAGGAGGAACACCGGUGGCGAAGGCGGGUCUCUGGGCCGUUACUGACGCUGAGGAGCGAAAGCGUGGGGAGCAAACAGG